GACGAACGCUGGCGGCGUGCUUAACACAUGCAAGUCGAACGGAAAGGCCCUGCUUUUGUGGGGUGCUCGAGUGGCGAACGGGUGAGUAACACGUGAGUAACCUGCCCUUGACUUUGGGAUAACUUCAGGAAACUGGGGCUAAUACCGGAUAGGAGCUCCUGCUGCAUGGUGGGGGUUGGAAAGUUUCGGCGGUUGGGGAUGGACUCGCGGCUUAUCAGCUUGUUGGUGGGGUAGUGGCUUACCAAGGCUUUGACGGGUAGCCGGCCUGAGAGGGUGACCGGCCACAUGGGGACUGAGAUACGGCCCAGACUCCUACGGGAGGCAGCAGUGGGGAAUAUUGCACAAGGGGCGGAAGCCUGAUGCAGCAACGCCGCGUGCGGGAUGACGGCCUUCGGGUUGUAAACCGCUUUCGCCUGUGACGAAGCGUGAGUGACGGUAAUGGGUAAAGAAGCACCGGCUAACUACGUG
rnacentral:rRNA from 1 species